rnacentral:tRNA from 2 species
GCGCUGGUAGCUCAGGGGUAGAGCAAGAGCCUUUUAAGCUCGUGGUCGUGGGUUCAAAUCCCACCCAGCGCACCA